rnacentral:sRNA from 1 species
UGAAAUGUAUACCUAUGAGGUAGUGCC